UUCCGGUUGAUCCUGCCGGACCCGACUGCUAUCGGAUUGAGAUUUAGCCAUGCGAGUCGAACGCCUUCCUGUUGCGGGAGGCGUGGCGUACGGCUCAGUAACACGUAGUCAACCUGCCCUAGAGACAUGAAUAACCCCGGGAAACUGGGAUUAAUACAUGAUAGAUCAUCUCAUCUGGAAGGAGAGAUGGUUUAAAGGGGUGCGCGAGCUUCUUUUGUGCAUCCGCUCUAGGAUGGGGCUGCGGCCGAUCAGGCUGUUGGUGGGGUAAUGGCCCACCAAACCUGUAACCGGUACGGGCCUUGAGAGAGGGGSCCCGGAGAUGGACACUGAGAGAAGGGUCCAGGUCCUACGGGGCGCAGCAGGCGCGAAACCUUCGCAAUGCGCGAAAGCGUGACGAGGUUAAUCCGAGUGGUUCCCGCUGAGGGAAUCUUUUGUUGGCUCUAAAAUGGCCAGUGAAUAAGGGGAGGGCAAGUCUGGUGUCAGCCGCCGCGGUAAUACCAGCUCCUCGAGUGGUCGGGGCGAUUAUUGGGCCUAAAGCAUCCGUAGCCUGUUCUGUAGGUCUUCUGUUAAAUCCAACGGCUUAACCGUUGGCCUGCAGAAGAUACCGCAGGACUAGGAGGCGGGAGAGGUGGACGGUACUCCACGUGUAGGGGUAAAAUCCUUUGAUCCGUGGAAGACCACCAGUGGCGAAGGCGGUCCACCAGAACGCGCUCGACGGUGAGGGAUGAAAGCUGGGGGAGCGAACCGGAUUAGAUACCCGGGUAGUCCCAGCCGUAAACGAUGCGAGCUAGAUGAUCCAAUCGCAAAUCGCGAUUGGAGUGUCGCAGGGAAGCCGUUAAGCUCGCCGCCUGGGGAGUACGGUCGCAAGACUGAAACUUAAAGGAAUUGGCGGG
rnacentral:rRNA from 1 species